rnacentral:misc_RNA from 1 species
GAUGAAGAACGUAGCGAAAUGCGAUAAGUAGUGUGAAUUGCAGAAUUCAGUGAAUCAUCGAAUCUUUGAACGCACAUUGCGCCCCUUGGUAUUCCAUGGGGCAUGCCUGUUCGAGCGUCAUUGCUGCCCUCAAGCACGGCUUGUGUGUUGGGCCCCCGUCCCCGGUUUCCCCCGGGGACGGGCCCGAAAGGCAGCGGCGGCACCGCGUCCGGUCCUCGAGCGUAUGGGGCUUUGUCACCCGCUCUGUAGGCCCGGCCGGCGCCAGCCGACACCCAACUUUAUUUCUAAGGUUGACCUCGGAUCAGGUAGGGAUACCCGCUGAACUUAAGCAUAUCAAUAAGCGGAGGA